GGGGAAGAAAGCUAGCAAGGACAGAUUCCAGAUCAAGGAAUGCUACCUCUAUCUUAAAUCACCGACUUCUGUCAAUUCCUUGCUGUUCUAAUAUUCUUGGCUGUGGCCCCAUUAAAUUCUCUUCCCCCACUAACCUGCAAAAUUUCAUUGAAUCUUCACAGAGAUCUCAAGUCUUGACCCUUUUGUGAAUCUACUGAAAAGAAACAAAUCACCAUGAAUUAAAAUGAAAAGAAAAACAUGGAUCUUGUAUGGCGUGUUUGGUGGUUAAAAGCCUAAACCAGUGUAGGACUGGGAAUAGAAUCGGAAGAUCUUUAUGCUGCAGAUGUGAAACUUCGGUAAUUUCCAAAAAGCAAUUAGAAACAGCGGAAAAUUAAAUUUGCAAGGAAUGUGGGUUUGACAAAAGCUGAAUUAGUGAAAAGCACUUCUGGAGAGUAGAACAUAUGGUGGCUUUGAUAAGGAAGGGGAAAUUGACAGUCCCUUCAUUGUCAAAGUGAGUUGGAUUUUAAGAAGGAACAAGAUGCAACAAGGGUUGAUUUGGUAAUUUUCUUGAGUAAGACAGUCAAAGAGUGAUGCACUGGUACCAAAUACCAAUUUAUAACAAUGGUUGGUUGUUUCACUUUCUGAAUAGAAGGAUGGAUGCCUUAUUUUCAUAGUGAGUGCACAUUAGUUCCUGCAUAAGAGAUUGCAAUUAGC
rnacentral:misc_RNA from 1 species